CGGUAAACAUUGGUGACAAUAAAAGAAUGAUCGGUAUGCUUAUAAGCGCAAUAGUGGUGUGUUUAGUGACAUGGGUAUACCUGCGUUGGAGAAACGUGAAACAAUAUUGGGCUGAGCGUGGAGUACCAUUUCUACCUCCACAUCCAAUAUCCCCAUAUUGGACAUGCUGAAGCUUGACAUUUUUACUUAAAAAGAACACGGAUCUUUUAUGGACGGUAGUUCGUCGACGGAUUUCAGCAAUAUUCACUGCAUCUAAAUUAAGAGCUUUACAACC